rnacentral:misc_RNA from 1 species
GGGAACUGAUAUGGUAAAUCAGGAGAAUGGUGGUUCUAUCGAAGUCAACGAAAAUUCUUACAGGAAGAAACUGAGAGCUAAUGAAAAGAUGGUGAGCUAUGCUGAGAAAGGUGAAGAAGAUGAAGAGGUUUCAGUCAGGAAGAAGCGUGGUAGAAAGAGCAGGAAGGUGGCUAAAGUCACAGGAAAAGAGGGUUCAGAAAUAGAGACAGUUAAUGAAAAUGGAGAUUUAGCUGAAGGAAACGGAAAGGAAGUGACAAAAAGAGGGCGAAAGAAGCAUAAGAAGGAGAGGAAUGAUGGUAAAAGGGAAUCUCUGACAAUCAACGGUGGCAUGGUUAAUUCGUUGCGGCAAGAUGCGAAGGAGCUUGAAAUUAACCAGCAAAGUGACG